rnacentral:rRNA from 1 species
GUGAGUUGUUUCAACGGCUGCGGUAGCGUGACCGUACUAAGGUAGCAUAAUAACUUGCCUUUUAAUUGGAGGCUGGUAUGAAUGGAUAAACGAGGGUAACGCUGUCUCAAUCUCACAUAUAAAAUUUAGAGUUUAGGUGAAGAUACCUAAAUGUCUUAAAAAGACAAGAAGUCCCCAUAGAGCUUUAGUAGAUUAAUUAAGGGUUUUAAAUUAUAUUGCUUUGGUUGGGGCGACAGAGGGCCAGCUAUAGCGCCCUUUUUCUAUUUUGAGAAAUAGCUCUUUUAGUUGAUCCAUGUGAAGUGAUUAAAAGAAAAAGCUACCUUGGGGUUAACAGGCUAAUCAACUCAAAGAGCUCACAUUGAUGAGUUGGUUUGGCACCUCGAUGUUGGCUCAGGGUUUCCCACAGGUGCAGAAGUUUGUGAUGGUAGGUUUGUUCACCCUUUAAAACCCUACGUGAUCUGAGUCAGACCGGA